rnacentral:rRNA from 1 species
AACGCUAGCUACAGGCUUAACACAUGCAAGUCGAGGGGCAUCAGGGUAGCAAUACCGCUGGCGACCGGCGCACGGGUGAGUAACACGUAUCCAACCUACCGUUAACUCGGGGAUAGCCUUUCGAAAGAAAGAUUAAUACCCGAUAGUAUAUUUUCUUCGCAUGUUGAAAAUAUUAAAGAAUUUCAGUUAUCGAUGGGGAUGCGUUCCACUAGGCAGUUGGCGGGGUAACGGCCCACCAAACCUACGAUGGAUAGGGGUUCUGAGAGGAAGGUCCCCCACAUUGGAACUGAGACACGGUCCAAACUCCUACGGGAGGCAGCAGUGAGGAAUAUUGGUCAAUGGACGAAGGUCUGAACCAGCCAAGUAGCGUGAAGGAUGACUGCCCUAUGGGUUGUAAACUUCUUUUAUAUGGGAAUAAAGUUCUCCACGUGUGGAGUUUUGUAUGUACCAUUAUGAAUAAGCAUCGGCUGACUCCGUGCCAGCAGCCGCGGUAAUACGGAGGAUGCGAGCGUUAUCCGGAUUUAUUGGGUUUAAAGGGAGCGUAGGUGGACUGGUAAGUCAGUUGUGAAAGUUUGCGGCUCAACCGUAAAAUUGCAGUUGAUACUGUCAGUCUUGAGUACAGUAGAGGUGGGCGGAAUUCGUGGUGUAGCGGUGAAAUGCUUAGAUAUCACGAAGAACUCCGAUUG